rnacentral:rRNA from 1 species
AGAUUGAACGCUAGCGGGAUGCUUUACACAUGCAAGUCGAACGGCAGCGCGGACUUCGGUCUGGCGGCGAGUGGCGAACGGGUGAGUAAUAUAUCGGAACGUGCCCAGUAGCGGGGGAUAACUACGCGAAAGCGUGGCUAAUACCGCAUACGCCCUACGGGGGAAAGGGGGGAUUCUUCGGAACCUCUCACUAUUGGAGCGGCCGAUAUCAGAUUAGGUUGUUGGUGAGGUAAAAGCUCACCAAGCCGACGAUCUGUAGCUGGUUUGAGAGAACGACCAGCCACACUGGGACUGAGACACGGCUCAGACUCCUACGGGAGGCAGCAGUGGGGAAUUUUGGACAAGUGGGACGAAAGCCUGAACUCCAGCAAUCGCCGCGU